ACUGCUCAGUAACACGUGGACAACCUACCCUGAAGAGGGGGAUAACCCCGGGAAACUGGGGAUAAUACCCCAUAGGCUAUGGAUGCUGGAAUGCUCUGUAGUUGAAAGGUCCGCCGCUUCAGGAUGGGUCUGCGGCCGAUUAGGUUGUUGUUGGGGUAACGGCCCAACAAGCCUGUAAUCGGUACGGGUUGUGGGAGCAAGAGCCCGGAGAUGGAUUCUGAGACACGAAUCCAGGCCCUACGGGGCGCAGCAGGCGCGAAAACUUUGCAAUGCGAGCAAUCGUGACAAGGGAACUCCGAGUGCCUGUAAAAUCAGGCUGUCCGCCAGUGUAAAUAACUGGCGAAGAAAGGGCCGGGCAAGACCGGUGCCAGCCGCCGCGGUAAUACCGGCGGCUCGAGUGGUGGCCACUAUUACUGGGCUUAAAGCGUUCGUAGCUGGCUUGUUAAGUCUCUGGGGAAAUCUUCCGGCUUAACCGGAAGGCGUCUCAGGGAUACUGGCAGGCUAGGGACCGGAAGAGGUGAGAGGUACUCCAGGGGUAGGAGUGAAAUCCUGUAAUCCUUGGGGGACCACCUGUGGCGAAGGCGUCUCACCAGAACGGCUCCGACAGUGAGGAACGAAAGCUGGGGGAGCAAACCGGAUUAGAUACCCGGGUAGUCCCAGCUGUAAACGAUGCGCGUUAGGUGUAUCGGUGACCACGAGUCACCGAGGUGCCGAAGAGAAAUCGUGAAACGUGCCGCCUGGGAAGUACGGUCGCAAGGCUGAAACUUAAAGGAAUUGGCGGGGGAGCAC
rnacentral:rRNA from 1 species